UUAGUACGGCGAGUGAAGCGGCAAAAGCUCAAAUUUGAAAUCUGGUACCUUCGGUGCCCGAGUUGUAAUUUGGAGAGGGCAACUUUGGGGCCGUUCCUUGUCUAUGUUCCUUGGAACAGGACGUCAUAGAGGGUGAGAAUCCCGUGUGGCGAGGAGUGCGGUUCUUUGUAAAGUGCCUUCGAAGAGUCGAGUUGUUUGGGAAUGCAGCUCUAAGUGGGUGGUAAAUUCCAUCUAAAGCUAAAUAUUGGCGAGAGACCGAUAGCGAACAAGUACAGUGAUGGAAAGAUGAAAAGAACUUUGAAAAGAGAGUGAAAAAGUACGUGAAAUUGUUGAAAGGGAAGGGCAUUUGAUCAGACAUGGUGUUUUGUGCCCUCUGCUCCUUGUGGGUAGGGGAAUCUCGCAUUUCACUGGGCCAGCAUCAGUUUUGGUGGCAGGAUAAAUCCAUAGGAAUGUAGCUUGCCUCGGUAAGUAUUAUAGCCUGUGGGAAUACUGCCAGCUGGGACUGAGGACUGCGACGUAAGUCAAGGAUGCUGGCAUAAUGGUUAUAUGCCGCCCGUCUUGA
rnacentral:rRNA from 1 species